rnacentral:misc_RNA from 1 species
GAUGAAGAACGUAGCGAAAUGCGAUAAGUAAUGUGAAUUGCAGAAUUCAGUGAAUCAUCGAAUCUUUGAACGCACAUUGCGCCCCUUGGUAUUCCGGGGGGCAUGCCUGUUCGAGCGUCAUUUCAACCCUCAAGCUCUGCUUGGUAUUGGGCACCGUCCUUUGCGGGCGCGCCUCAAAGACCUCGGCGGUGGCGUCUUGCCUCAAGCGUAGUAGAAUACACCUCGCUUCGGAGCGUAAGGCGUCGCCCGCCGGACGAACCUUCUGAACUUUUCUCAAGGUUGACCUCGUAUCAGGUAGGGAUACCCGCUGAACUUAAGCAUAUCAAUAAGCGGAGGA